UACGAAGGGGGCUAGCGUUGCUCGGAAUUACUGGGCGUAAAGCGCACGUAGGCGGCUUUCUAAGUCGGGGGUGAAAUCCUGGAGCUCAACUCCAGAACUGCCUUCGAUACUGGAAAGCUCGAGUCCGGGAGAGGUGAGUGGAACUGCGAGUGUAGAGGUGAAAUUCGUAGAUAUUCGCAAGAACACCAGUGGCGAAGGCGGCUCACUGGCCCGGUACUGACGCUGGGGUGCGAAAGCGUGGGGAGCAAACAGG
rnacentral:rRNA from 1 species